GGGAGGCGGGAUGCUGAAGUCCUGCAUCCCUUUUCCGGCCUUUCUUGGGCACAAGAUACGCGAAUCCAAGGCCUAGUUCCGGCAAUGGCAGCUCCUGAGGUGGACUCCGGGGCUGCUUUAGUCCGAAUGAUCUGGUGGGACUUGAGGAUGCCAAGUCCAGAGUCUAGCUGGACAAGAGAACAUGUGUGGUAAGUGUGGUUAUUUGUGGCUUUCCCCAUUGGACCAUGGACUCCAUGAGCAGGGACAAUUUAGUUGUCCAUGCCUACACUAACCAUUAUGGCAGCCCCAACACGACCAAACCAUGAAAAUGUAAUGUUAAAACUUUAAAUUUCCUUGCCCUGGCUAGUGUAGCUCAAGUGGUUGGUUGGGUUUCCUGCCUUGCACCAGGUUGCCAGAUUGGUCAUGCUGUGUGUGGCAAGGUGGGGCACAGCUGAUCAAUGUUUCUCUCCCCCAAUUGCUGCCUAAAAACCAAUUUUAAGAAAUCUUAAAAUCAGUUCCUUGGCUACACUGACCCGAACAUUUCCACUGCUGUCUAGCCACAUAGAUAGUGGCUGCUCCUCCAGUUAAGACUGGUUCACCACCACACAAAUUCCAUUAGAUAGCCCUGGUAGUCUUAUAUUUGAACUGACACUUCAGUGUUACAUUGAACUUUUUGUAUGACAGUAUAACCCACAGCUACGCAUACUGGCAUAAGAAAGUCCAUUCCAGCCUGAGUGAACGGAGAAGGAAGUCAACAGACAAAGGCAAUCACCACCAUAAUCAAAUUUAUUAUUCCAAUGGCACUAAUACAGCUUUGAGGUGCUCUGGUGACACUGCACAAAAUUUCCUGCCUUCUAGCUUCUGUCC